AUUGAACGCUGGCGGCAGGCCUAACACAUGCACGUCGAGCGAGCGGCGGACGGGUGAGUAAUGUCUGGGGAUCUGCCCGAUCGAGGGGGAUAACUACUGGAAACGGUGGCUAAUACCCCAUACUAUCGGAUGAACCCAUAUGGGAUUAGCUCGUAGGUGGGGUAAAGGCUCACCUAGGCGACGAUCUCUAGCUGGUCUGAGAGGAUGAUCAGCAACACUGGGACUGAGACACGGCCCAGACUCCUACGGGAGGCAGCAGUGGGGAAUAUUGCACAAUGGGGGCAAGCCUGAUGCAGCCAUGCCGCGUGUAUGAAGAAGGCCUUCGGGUUGUAAAGUACUUUCAGCGAGGAGGCGUUACUCGCAGAAGAAGCACCGGCUAACUCCGUGCCAGCCGCCGCGGUAAUAC
rnacentral:rRNA from 1 species